UUCUUUACCCCAGAAACUGCUGCGGAGUGCCUUAGGAUAUGUUUCUGCUGUUACUUCUAAACACCUGGAAAAAAUUAUAGGCGAAGCGUGACUCAAGCCGUCUGUCACUGAGAAGAACUGCUGAGAGGAGAUGGCUGCUCAUUUCCAGACCCUUCUAGGCCUUGGGAAAACUCUGACAGCAGUGAGGUGCUUGGCUAAAAACUGCAUGUCAUGUGUUUGUCAGCAGUAUACAAAACGCUGUGUGCAUACAUGUUUAUAUACCUAAAAUCUAAUGUAUACACACACACACAUACACACAUAUAUGUAUAUAUAGAGAUCCAUAUUAUUAAUUUAUUUUACACACCAAAACAGCAGUCUGUGUUUUGGCAGAUGCUUUGCAAACUGUCUCAGUAUGGGAUGGAAAAUAAAAGAACCUUUAUACAUGAUAUCUAACGUUAGAAACUUCCAAUGAUACACUACACCACAUUUCCACUUAUUCCAAAUUUUCCUGUGCUCAUUUUUAAAUUUAAACAAACUACAUGAAAUAUGCUAUCCUUUUCUUUUUUUCCCUGAAACCUUUUAUCUCUUCUGCUUGCUUCAGUUUUAAAUGUUUGCUUACAACAGAAAGGAAAAAACCCACCAAAUGUUUUUAAACGCACCAGGAGCUUUAAUUUUUCGAGAAUAAAUCUUACGCUGCAAA